UGUGGGAGCGGGCUUGCUCGCGAAAGCGGUGUGUCAGUCAAUACAUCCGCAGACUGAUAAAACGCUAUCGCGAGCAAGCCCGCUCCCACA
rnacentral:misc_RNA from 1 species